GAUGAACGCUUGCCUCGUGCCUAAUACAUGCAAGUCGAGCGAACAGACGAGGAGCUUGCUCCUCUGACGUUAGCGGCGGACGGGUGAGUAACACGUGGAUAACCUACCUAUAAGACUGGGAUAACUUCGGGAAACCGGAGCUAAUACCGGAUAAUAUAUUGAACCGCAUGGUUCAAUAGUGAAAGACGGUUUUGCUGUCACUUAUAGAUGGAUCCGCGCCGCAUUAGCUAGUUGGUAAGGUAACGGCUUACCAAGGCAACGAUGCGUAGCCGACCUGAGAGGGUGAUCGGCCACACUGGAACUGAGACACGGUCCAGACUCCUACGGGAGGCAGCAGUAGGGAAUCUUCCGCAAUGGGCGAAAGCCUGACGGAGCAACGCCGCGUGAGUGAUGAAGGUCUUCGGAUCGUAAAACUCUGUUAUUAGGGAAGAACAAAUGUGUAAGUAACUAUGCACGUCUUGACGGUACCUAAUCAGAAAGCCACGGCUAGCUACGUG
rnacentral:rRNA from 1 species